AUUGAACGCUGGCGGCAUGCCUUACACAUGCAAGUCGAACGGCAGCGCGGGAGCAAUCCUGGCGGCGAGUGGCGAACGGGUGAGUAAUACAUCGGAACGUGCCCAAUCGUGGGGGAUAACGCAGCGAAAGCUGUGCUAAUACCGCAUACGAUCUACGGAUGAAAGCAGGGGAUCGCAAGACCUUGCGCGACUGGAGCGGCCGAUGGCAGAUUAGGUAGUUGGUGAGGUAAAGGCUCACCAAGCCUUCGAUCUGUAGCUGGUCUGAGAGGACGACCAGCCACACUGGGACUGAGACACGGCCCAGACUCCUACGGGAGGCAGCAGUGGGGAAUUUUGGACAAUGGGCGAAAGCCUGAUCCAGCCAUCCCGCGUGCAGGAUGAAGGCCUUCGGGUUGUAAACUGCUUUUGUACGGAACGAAACGGUCUUUUCUAAUAAAGAAGGCUAAUGACGGUACCGUAAGAAUAAGCACCGGCUAACUACGUG
rnacentral:rRNA from 1 species